GACGAACGCUGGCGGCGUGCUUAACACAUGCAAGUCGAACGGAAAGGCCCUGCUUUUGCGGGUUGCUCGAGUGGCGAACGGGUGAGUAACACGUGAGUAACCUGCCCUUGACUUUGGGAUAACUUCAGGAAACUGGGGCUAAUACCGGAUAGGAGCUCCUGCUGCAUGGUGGGGGUUGGAAAGUUUCGGCGGUUGGGGCUGGACUCGCGGCUUAUUAGCUUGUUGGUGGGGUAGUGGCUUACCAAGGCUUUGAUGGGUAGCCCGCAUGAGCGAGCGAUCGGCCACCCUGGAACGGGGGCACGGUCCAGAGGACUACGGGAGGCAGCAGUCGGGAACGUGACGCAAUGGGCGGAAGCAUGACGCAGCAACGGCGCGUGAGUGAUGAAGGUAUUCGGAUCGUAAAACUCUGUUAGUAGGGAAGAACAUAUGUGGAAGUAAAUGGGCAGAGCUUGACGGUACAUAAUCAGAAAGCAACGGCUAACUACGUG
rnacentral:rRNA from 1 species